GGCCAAUCUUAUGACUAUAUAUUGUAGUAAAAUCACUUUGCCUCAUCAGAGCUCAGAUUCAUUCACAUUGUCCAGCACCAAGGAAAUAAUCAAAAUGAUUUCCAUCUGUGAAGUGCAUGGUGAGUGGAAGAGUAAAAAAGAUAAUGGCAGGAUCUAAUCCCUGCCCAUUGAGUUUAAGGAUAUAGAGGAUGAUGCUCUCUAGUGGAUAUUGAAACUGCUCUGCUUCUGAAACCACUGAGAACAAGGUAGACGCGUGUUCUAAAUAAACUGUUGUUUUUUAUGUUAUGUAUUUUAUUCUUUUUCACAUAGCUUAAUUUAGUUUUGUGUUUUACAAUGAACAAUAAGUGACAUUAAUUCAUGUAAUAAUGAUAGGACAACAUAAUUUGUUAGCUAAGAAUAGCUAACAAAUGUCCUUCCCUGUAUUUCCUUUGCCUUUAAAAUCCGUGUGCAGUAAAAGAUCUGGAUCUAAGGCAGCCUAAGUCAAACUUAACUGAAUGCUGUUCUCAUAGCCAUGAAAAUAGACGUUUC
ensembl:lncRNA